CUGCAGUGACAUCUACUGAGAGAGAAGAGGGAGAAGUGGAAGAAAAGGAGAAGAACUUGCAAAUGGAGGAGAAAGAGGAGAAAGGGGGAGCAGAGCUACCGGCAACAUCCACGAGGAGGAAAGCACAGAAAAUUGCAGCAAACACGAACUGUUCAGAAUACUGUAUCCGGGGAUAUUGACAGAACGUUGAACAGAAGUCCACCCUAUGCAGACGGGUCCUAGGUGAGGAACCAGACCAAGUGCAGCCCAAAGAUCCCUUAAGAUGAAUACGACCACUGGAACAGUGGACGUACAUGAGGUCCCACCCUGGAGCCAGGCCUGGGACCCGUUGGGGAGCCCCUUGGAUAACUUAUUUUCUCUGAAUAAAUGAAGAUUAACAAAAUGAGGCAA